rnacentral:lncRNA from 1 species
GCAGGAUUUGACAUGCCAUCAUAGGCUCUCUAACAUAACUAGACUUCCUCACACCCCUGGUAAUAGAAUUGUUUAGCUUUAUCUCAAGAAGCCUGGGAAAGCACAUGUAACAUGCCCAGAUAUACUUAGAGGGGUUGAUCCCACAAGCUUUUAAGGGAUUGUCUAAAACGAAAAAGCACCUGAGCAAAUUCUAUGGUGGUUCCAUGUGUGCUGAAUGCGUGACAGGCUCAGGCCUGGUUUCCCUGACUAGGAACAGAAAAUUGUCAAGUGCCAAACGCACCAGCAG